UUCCGGGCUUGCUCGGAAAUUAGUGGCGAACGGCUGAGUAACGCGUAGGUGACCUACCCCGUAGUGAGGAAUAACUGCCCGAAAGGGUAGCUAAUACCUCAUGUUGAGACGCUUUCAUUAGUGUCUCCAAAGCAGCAAUGCGCUAUGGGCGGGGCCUGCGUUCGAUUAGCUAGUUGGUGAGGUAAUGGCUCACCAAGGCGACGAUCGAUAGGUGGUCUGAGAGGACGAUCACCCAGACUGGGACUGAGACACGGCCCAGACUCCUACGGGAGGCAGCAGUCGGGAAUUUUGCGCAAUGGGGGAAACCCUGACGCAGCAAUACCGCGUGUGGGAUGAAGGCCUUCGGGUCGUAAACCACUUUUCUCGGGGACGAUAAUGACGGUACCCGAGGAAUAAGCCACGGCUAACUACGUGCCAGCAGCCGCGGUAAUACGUAGGCGGCAAGCGUUGUCCGGAUUUACUGGGCGUAAAGCGCGCGCAGGCGGUGAAUGAAGUCGAAAGUGAAAGCCCCGGGCUCAACUCGGGAACAGCUUUCGAAACCAGUUCACUUGAAGGUGGAAGAGGGAAGUGGAAUUCCGAGUGUAGCGGUGGAAUGCGCAGAUAUUCGGAGGAACACCAGAGGCGAAGGCGACUUCCUGGUCCAAUCUUGACGCUGAGGCGCGAAAGCUAGGGGAGCAAACAGGAUUAGAUAUCCUGGUAGUCCUAGCUGUAAACGAUGGAUACUAG
rnacentral:rRNA from 1 species